rnacentral:tRNA from 1 species
GAGAAAGACUGCAAGAACUGCUAAUUCAUGCCUCCAUGCUUAAACACAUGGCUUUUUCA